AUUGUAAUAUCUUACCUUGGGCUACUAGUUUCCUCUUUAUCACUGGAAAUAGGGACAUUUAAUCAGUUUUAAGACCAAAUUCCAGAAAACCCAGUACAAAAUAAGAAAAUUUAUCUUUAAUAUUGUAUUCCUCUAGAACAAUGUUUGGUAUUGAAAUAUUUACUCUUUUCCUGUAGCAGCUGUAACAAAUUAGCACCAAAAAGGUCACUUAAGAGACAUUUAUUAUCUCACAGUUCUGGAGGGCCAGAGAUCUGAAACCAAGGUGCUGGCAGAGGCACUCUCCCUCUGGAAGCUCUAGGGGAUUCUAUAUUUCUCGCCUUUUACAGCUUCUUGUUGCUGUUGAUUUCCUUCACUCUUGGCCACAUGGCUUGCUCCUCCUCUUCAUAUUGUUUUCUCCUCUGUGAGUCUGUGCAUAAAAUUUCACUCUGCCUUGCUCUCACUUGUGAUGGCAUGGAGAGCCUACCCUGAUAAUCUAGCAUCUAAAACACAACUUUUGCCAUGUAAGAUAAUAUUAACUAUUUUACCCUAUGAGGUAAUAUUUACAGGUCCAGGGAUUUGGACAUGACAUGUAUUUGGGGGCGGGUCACCAUUCAGUCCACUAAACUCCUAAGAUUCUGCACUACUCAACAUCACUCUGCUGUGUUUGGAGCAUGGCAUUGCAGUUUUCUUUAGUAUUUGGUAAGAAAAACCACUCAUCUUUACUAUCUAUUUUUGUGAUGUUAUGAAUAAUAAUAUUUUAUUUUCUGUUAUACUUUUUAGUGACCAUUGAUAGUAAACACAGAUGUCUUUGUAGGUUAAUCUUGCAUACAAUAAAUCUACUAAUUUUUUCCAUAAUUCUAUAAAUGUCUUUUGAUUUAUUAUUUCCUUAUGCAGAUAAUCAUAUCUUCAAAUAACAGCACUUUGCUUUUUCCCUACCAAUCCUCAUAGCUAAUAUAGCUUGUCUUUUAAUAAUCUUGUUGGCUAUGAAUUUCUAUCCUGUGCUUAUCAGUAAUUACAAUAGUGAAGACGCUUAUCAUGUUUCAUAUUCUAAAUAAAGUAUUUCUAACAGUUUUCCACUGAGAAUCAUGUUAGGUAUUAAUUUUUAAUGUGCAGAUAGGUCAAAAUAAGAAAAUUUCAUUCUUUUACUUAUUUUCUGGUUUUAAGCAUAUUAAUCACAUUAUUCUAAUUAUAUAUAUAUACACACACACACAUAUAUAUAUAUUUCUUUUAUAUUAUGUGUUUGGCAUAUCUUUGGGAGAGGUACAUUUAAAAUGUCCAGCUACAAUAGUUUAUUUGGUCUUUUCCCCUAAUUUUUUAGUUCUUCUUUACAAAAUUAAGGGCUAUAUAAAAUUGGGGGUUUUAAAUUUUUAUAACUUUUUUUAUCUAUUCUCUAUUUAUAAGUAUUUAAAUUGUUACUACUCAUGAUAAUUUUGGCUUAUGUUAUAUAUUAUUUUACAUUAAAAUUUUUAUAUUGAAUUAUUUUCAGGUUCACAUUGCCUGUAAUAUCUGGCUUUAACAAUUUAGUUUCAGAGUUUUAUAUGCUUUUUAGUUCAGUGAAUUUCUUAUAGACAAGAUAUUCUUUGAUUAUUAAGAUAUGCUUGGAUUAUUCUUGGAUUCUUGUCUUUUCUGAUUGAUGUGAUUAUUCCAUAUUGUAAAGGGUGGCCCCCAAAAAGACAUGCUGCUUUCCUAAUCCCCAGAAUCUGUGUGCCUUAUAUGGCAAAAGAUUGAAUAUUACUUUGUGUGGCCAAAGAUGUGAUUAAACUAAAGCUCUUGAAAGGAGGAGCUUAUACUGAAUUAUCCGGGUGGGCCCCAAAUGCAACCAUAUGUACCCUAAUAAGAGAGAGCCUCAGGAACUCCAGAGACAGAUACAUAGAUGAGAAGACAUGUAUAAAAGAGACAAUUGGAGUGAUAUGGCCAUGAGUCAAAGAAUGCCUGAAUCUACGGGAACCUAGGAGAGGAAAGAAAGGAAUUCUCUCCUACACCCUUUGGAGGGAGCACCACCCUGUUGACACCUUGAUUUCAGACUUUGAGCUUCCAGAAUUGUGAGGGAAUACAUUUCUGUUGUUUUGCUAAGGUUGUGGCACUUUGUCAUGGCAGUCCUAAGAAACUAAUACACCUCAUGGACUUAUAUUGUAAUUACUCUUGUACUAAUAUUAACUUUUGCUUUCUUGUUGGAUAUUUUCUGCUUAAAACUUUUUUAAAAAACUAUCUUUUAUUGUUCAAUUGAAUAAAUGCACUUUAUCUACUGGGUUGAGAUUUAAAAUUCACUGAACUUCUCUGUGCCUCAGUUUUCCCAAAUCCUAAAUAGUAAAAUGAAUGCAUGGCUUGUUUUCUGCAUAGCUUACUUGUGAGGAUUAAAUGGGUUGCUGGGCCCCAAGUCAUUCGGUUUUUACUGCUACAUGGCUAUGCUCUCUAACUAAAUUUUAAAACUUAGGCUAAGACCAUGGAUAACAUAGGCUUGCUUGCAUAUUAGAUAUAGAGAUGCUAAAUAAUAAUCAUAAGUACUUUUUAUUCCUGAGAUUAAACUUUAUACACAUUCUGUUCAGUAACAUAAGUAACCAGGGUAAAUAUGGAAUGCACAUAUGAGUACAAAACUUAAAAAUUGGUAUGAAAGCAUAAAAUACAGCACAUAGUAAUUUUAGUAAACUAAUAUUAAUUGAAUGUUAAACAGUAUCCAUUACAAUUAUUUAUCGUAUCAUAUUUCAUUGAAUAAAACAUUUAUCAUAAACACAAAAAGUAUCCAUAAACCUCAGAAACCAACACUGAGUGAAAACAUUAAUAAUUAGUAACAUUAUAUUCUAAAUACUGCCACCAAUUUUAGAAAUGCCUUAAAAUUAUUGUCACCCUUUUAGAAUUUUUUCAAAAUAAACAAAAUUAUUAUAUGACAUUUAAAUGAAGAAUGAGGAAAAAUUAAAGAGUAUAUGAUUUAAUCAUUGGGAAGUGAUAAAAAAUUAGUUUAUUCUUACUAUUUUUUUCCAGUAAUAUAGCACAAUAUAAUUAAGCAACCAGAAAUAAAAAGUAUAUUUUAUGGUGUUUUAAAAUGUGGCUUUUGGAAUUUGACAAUAAGUAAACAUAUGUAGAGUACAUGUUUUAACUCUAAAUAGAUAAAAGCUUCAUGAAAAUAUAAGAGCUAAAUUAAUUGCAAACUGCUAGAUUUAAAUUAAAAGUGCUUAAUAUGUUAUGAGAAGACAGGAACAGACGCCCACAUUUAUACUAGUCAGUAUAAUUCAUAUAAUUAGACCUUAAAAUGGCACACACUUAAAACAACUUGGUAAGUAUUCAUUGAUUUUUCAGAAACGUACAUAGGAGUUUCUAAUUCAUCUAUAAACAGGUAAAACUAACUAAAGAUAAUAUUACUAGGAUGUGUUUACAAUAAAUAAAACUAUGAAUAUUAAGAGAACGCUUUAUGCUGUUGGCAAUUUCAGUCUAAGGAAUAUGUAGUUUCACAGCUAUCUGUGUAUACUAAACAUUCACAUUUUUGACAUUUGCCAACAUUUAUUUGUCACUUAAAAUAGGCCAUGACUGUCCUAACUGAUUUUUUCUUAUUAAUAUAAUACUCACCUAUAAGGUAUGUAUUAUCAUCAUCCUUAUUUACAACAGAAUAAACCAUGGCAGAAAGCAUUUAAACAGAAAAACCAAAUUCACAUGACUAGUAAUGGCUGUAGCCCAGAUUCAAACCUUGGUAUCUAGAUUUGAGUUUGGUUCCAGUACUCAACAAGCUUCACCAUUUUGUGAGCCUGCUCCUGAAGGGUUAUAACAAUUACAAUCAGUUCUCCAGUACAAUUCAUAUAGAAACAGUGUUUGUCCUCUAAACACUCAGCAUUUUUAUCAUAUCUCUCUCUUCCCAAAACUCUAAGUAGCUCUGAGGUUGCUGCUUUUCCUAAUAACUCCCUGGAUGAUAAAUAGUAAGAGAAUACAUCACCUAUCUGCUACAUUUAUAUUUUAACAGUUAUACUAGAGAUAUACCCGUAGAACCAAAGAGACAGCUCUCAAAUUGUUAAAUUUGAUAAUGUGUAAGGCAAUAGUAGUGAUGGAGGCAGGGGGUUGGCAGGGGCAAAAUUGUAAGCAGGAGACCCUAUUUAGUUCACCUUAUGCUGCACAGUAGUGAUAUUUAAUGUUUUCAUCUAUUUGUGCUAUUUGGCUAUCCUUAAAAAUAUAAUAUUCUUGCCUGGUUUAAUAGCCAUUUAAAUGUAUAAUUUAAUUAAUCAUCUGGUAUUUUUGGAAUAAAUAAAUUGUAUUCAACCGAUGUUUAAAAUGACAAUGCCCCCGAAGUGGAACCCUACUGAGAUGUUACUUGAAAUGACCAAAUGCCAUUUUGUAAUUGUCCAUAAAAUAAUGUUUCUUAAGAUUCUUGUCCAAAUUCAGCAUUUGAAUGUGCCACCCUUACCUUUGAAAUAUGCUGUGCUCUAACAGAUGGAGACACAGCAGCAAUCACAGAAAGGCUUUUCAAAUGAGGCGCAUGUACCCUGAAAUCCAAAACAGCUCCAGUGUGGACAACCGGAGGCUUGUGACCUUUGCUAUAGGAGAAAAGUGUCUAUUGACUCUUGGACUCAUUAUUUCACAUACUGAGCUGUUAACAGUUGGAUUAAACUUUCUUAGAAUGGAAAUUCCAGUUUCCAGCACAAAGCGACUUUAUUUUAAAUAGCAAAAGUGCUAUUUCUUCUUUUUCUUUGAUAGCCAUUAUACUUCUGUGUAAUAAACUUCAAAGCCACGAUAUACAUUGAGGAAAAGGAAUGGAAGACACAAGUAAUCAAAUCAUAUUUUUCUGUAACUUCCAGAUCAGGCAGAAAUGAGGGAAAUAAGCACCUCUGUAAUAAUAAUUUCACUUCACUCAUUCUAAAAUCUAAGGUAGCUAUAAAAAUACUAUGACUUUCUUUUCAAAUAUAUGUGUUUAUAUGUAUAUUUAUCUUGAAUCUCUUUUUGAAUAUAUAUUUUACUCUGUUUUGUUUUCAAAUUGCAUACUUAUAUUUAGCUUCCCACAUAAAUAUUAUAAAUUUGUUUAUUUGUGAGACCUAAGAUUUCCUUCUCCUGUGGAUUCCAUUUUAUGAAACAUUUGAGUGGAAAUGUUUAAUCAUAGCUUACACCAGGGUAUAAGAGAACAUGUAAGUCAAAAACUGAAGAUAAAGAGACAUAUUUUCUGGUUGUAGAGACUCCCCUCAUUUCCUUCUGCAUGCAGAUUUUGCUUAAGUGGCAAAAGUCAUAUAUAAAAAAAAUCCUAAUGUGUGGCGGAUGUUAUUUCUAAAAUAGUAGCAGCUUAAACAGAGAUAUCCAGUUCUCUGUUUCUAGAUCAGCACUGAAAUAUCAAAAGCAAUUUCCGCAGCAAGCAAGAACAUUCCCAUUUGCCAUAGAAAUAGAAGAAAAGUGUCACCUCAUAUCCCUAAAUUUGUAGAGUAGAAAUGGAAAUGAUAGCAGGUUAAAAGAAAGCACUGAGAGAGGGCUCACAUCUUCCCUCCCAAGUGUCACUGAGGAAUCAUGGGAAAUGAACAAAGAAAAGAGUAAAUUUUUGUACAACACUACUAUUACCACUCAUCUUAGUAGACUUCUACACAUUCCUGAUUUGGAAGGUAAAGCCCAGGGAAAUGACGGGAUGGAAACAGAUCUCUCAGAAUCCUAGUAUGCAAGAAAAGCUAUUCUGGAGACUACGCUUUGCGUGGUGACUAUAUUGUAGGCAAAGCUGGCAGAGGUUGUCCAGAUGUAGUGCAACCUUGCUGUUUUAGAGAAUAAAAUCAGGAAGAAGCCUGGGCAUAAUCGUAAUUGAAGAGGUGAGCACAAAAGAUGGUAGAAUAUCUGUCUCUUGGCUCUUUCCCUUCAUCUAGCAGAAAAAAAGAUGUAUUUUUUCCCCCAGUUUGGAGAGCUCACAGUCCUAAGUCAUUCUACUUGAUGUUUAAUUUACCACAAAUAAAUCAUGUAGCUUAAAGUCUGUGUAUUUCUGAGAGUAAACAGGUAGAAAAAGCGAGAAACAGCAGAAAAUGCACUCCCCAUAUUUAGGAGUUAUAAUCAUGUAUGUAAAGUGUGUUCUCUGUUUAAAUAACAAAACAAAUUUGUUAAAAUUUGUACUUAUUUGUAAGUACAAAUAAGGGAAGUGGGACCAGUAAACUCGAGACUAUAUUGUCAAGAAAACUUAAAAAAGAAGUGUUUCAAGAGUAAAACUCUUUCCAAAAUAAGCUGUCAAUCCAUUGAAAUGUGUCCCCAAUUGGUGGGUUCUUGGUCUCACUGACUUCAUAAAUGAAGCUGCGGACCCUCACGGUGAGUGUUACCGUUCUUAAAAGCAGCGUGUCUGGAGUUUGUUCCUUCUGAUGUUCAGACGUGUUCGGAGUUUCUUCCUUCUGGUGGGGUUCGUGGUCUUGCUGGCUCAGGAGUGAAGUUGCGGACCUUCGCGGUGAGUGUUACAGCUCAUAAAGGCAGUGUGGACCCAUAGAGUGAGCAACAGCAGGAUUUAUUGCAAAGAGUGAAAGAACAAAGUUUCCACGUGCAGAAGGGGACCCCAGCGGGUUGCCACUGCUGGCUGGGGCAGCCUGCUUUUAUUCUCUUAUGUGGCCCCACCGACAUCCUGCUGGUUGGUAGAGCCGAGUGGUCUGUUUUGACAGGGCGCUGAUUGGUGCGUUUACAAACCUUGAGCUAGAUACAGAGUGCCAAUUGGUGUAUUUACAAUCCCUUAGCUAGACAUAAAGGUUCUCCAAGUCCCUACCAGACUCAGGAGCCCAGCUGGCUUCACCCAGUGGAUCCCCCACAGGGCUGCAGGUGGAGCUGCCUGCCAGUUCCCGGCCGUGUGCCCGCACUCCUCAGCGCUUGGGUGUCGAUGGGACUGGGCCCAUGGAGUAGGGGGCGGCGCUCGUCUGGGAGGCUCGGGCCACACAGGAGCCCACGGAGGUUGGGGGAGGCUCAGGCAUGGCGGGCUGCAGGUCCCGAGCCCUGCCGUGCAGGAAGGCAGUUAAGGCCCCGCGAGAAAUUGAGCACAGCAGCUGCUGGCUGAGGUGCUAAGCCCCUCACUGCCUGAGGCCAGUGGGGCCGGCCAGCUGCUCCGAGUGCGGGGUCCGCCGAGCCCACGCCCAUCCGGAACUCGCGCUGGCCUGCAAGCACCGCGCGCAGCCCUGGUUCCCGCCCGCGCCUCUCCCUCCACACCUCCCUGUAAGCUGAAGGAGCCCGCUCCGGCCUUGGCCAGCACAGAAAGGGGCUCCCACAGUGCAGCCUCGAGCUGAAGGGCUCAUCAAGUGCCGCCAAAGUGGGAGCCCAGGCAGGGGAGGCGCCGAGAGCCAGUGAGGACUGCCAGCACCGCUGUCACCUCUCAGAAAUGCUGGGAAGAAUAUGAGAGAUCCGGAAGGGAACAGAAGACAAGGAAUGUGGGCACCCUCUAGAAGUUGCAGAAGCCAGAGAAACAGACUCUCCCCUGGAAUGUUCAGAAAGUGUACAAUCCUGCCAAGACCUCGGUCAUAGCUCAGUGAAACCCAUUUUGAAAUUCGGACCACCAGAACUUUUUGCCUUGUGCUUGAGACACACCCAGACCUUUAGCCUCCAGCCUGCAGAAAUUGGUAGAUUUCUUCUGUGAAAAGCCAGGAGCAAAUUUUCAGCUCAAUUCUGCAAGUUUCAAUCUGCACUGGAAUUUUAAUCCAUCAUCUUCUAUUUUUAUAUAACUUUCUUAUGUCUUC